GACGAACGCUGGCGGCGUGCUUAACACAUGCAAGUCGAACGAGACGAUUGGAAGCUUGCUUUUAAAAGUCGAGUGGCAAACGGGUGAGUAACGCGUAGACAACCUGCCUUUGAGAUGGGGACAACAGUUCGAAAGGACUGCUAAUACCGAAUGUUGUAUAUUUUCCACAUGGAAGAUAUAUUAAAGAUGGCCUCUAUUUAUAAGCUAUCGCUCAAAGAUGGGUCUGGGUCUGAUUAGCUGGUUGGUGGGGUAACGGCCUACCAAGGCGACGAUCAGUAGCCGGUCUGAGAGGAAGAACGGCCACAUUGGGACUGAGACACGGCCCAGACUCCUACGGGAGGCAGCAGUGGGGAAUCUUCCACAAUGGACGAAAGUCUGAUGGAGCAACGCCGCGUGAGUGAAGAAGGGUUUCGGCUCGUAAAGCUCUGUUGUCGGGGACGAAUGUGCAGUAUUUGAAUAAAGUACUGUAAUGACGGUACCUGACGAGGAAGCCACGGCUAACUACGUGCCAGCAGCCGCGGUAA
rnacentral:rRNA from 1 species